GAGCCACGUCAGGGGAGUCCCGCCAUGGGGACUGAGAGGCUGACAUUCGCCGGGUAAACCCGGCGGAGGUGACGCGACCCUUAGAACCUGACCCAGUUGACGCUGGCGUAGGAAGACCGAAGGGCUUAUCC
rnacentral:ncRNA from 1 species